CAGCAGCCGCGGUAAUACAAGGGGGGCAAGCGUUGUUCGGAUUUAUUGGGCGUAAAGGGUGCGUAGGCGGUUUGGCAAGUCUUGUGUGAAAUCUUCGGGCUCAACCCAUAGCCUGCACGAGAAACUACCGGGCUUGAGUAUUGGAGAGGUGAGUGGAAUUUCCGGUGUAGCGGUGAAAUGCGUAGAUAUCGGAAGGAACACCUGUGGCGAAAGCGGCUCACUGGACAAUAACUGACGCUGAUGCACGAAAGCUAGGGGAGCAAACAGGAUUAGAUACCCCGGUAGUCCCUGUCUCUUAUAC
rnacentral:rRNA from 1 species